CUUCUAUUGGUUACUUUUCUGAAUUGAUCUGUGAUUUUUUUUUUUCUAAAUAUGUGGAGUUUAGAGUUGUCUUCAUAACAAAAUCAUUUCUCCAUCGAAUUCAUUCUGUAGCCUUUUUCUGAACAAGUACACAAAUUCACUUUUCUUUAACCCCUUAAGGACCAAACUUCUGGAAUAAAAGGGAAUCGUGACAUGUCACACAUGUCAUGUGUCCUUAAGGGGUUAAACUAUAUACACAACACCGAAACCAAGCUGCACAAUACUAAUAAAAAACUUCAGUGUAUUGCCGUUCAGAAAAAUUUACUCAUCGAAGAAACAAAGAGACGUCAACAUUUG